AUUCUACCCAUGUGGGGAAGGAUGAGAAGCUUCGACUAAGGUUCGAUUCGAGCGAAAGCGAGAAAGCGUUGCCGUAGGCAACGACCCGAAGGGCGAAGCGCGCAGCGCUGAGUCAUCCUUCCCCCACCACCA
rnacentral:sRNA from 8 species